rnacentral:lncRNA from 1 species
AAAAGCCCACUAGGAGCAACAUGAUUCCAGGAGCUCAGACUAUCAUGGGAACAUCAAAUGCACCUGGCAUCGUGAUAAGGCCAUCAGAAAUUAGCAACACCAAAGGUGCAUCCUGGGUGUCCUUCUAACACAGAUCAUAGCUGACAUAUAUCUGUCUGUACUGACAUCACCUGGAGCCUCAGCAGCAUACUUUGGAGCAGAGCAAAUCAAUGUCAAUAAGGAGUGCCAAUACCCAAAGUUCUCUCCUGUUCCAGAAGAGGAGCAGCAUCAGAGAGAUGGGCUGGGAUGGGACAACAAGGCAAGCAUGACUGUGGCUAUCACACAGGGAGGCUGGGGCUGCACCGUUCUGUGGCAUUUGUCACAGAAUAUGCCAAAAUGCAAGGGUGGAAAUGAGCUUUAAGGCAUGACUGGAAGAUACGCCAAUGGCAAUUAUUAAACAUCUCGGUGCAGUGUCCAUUUGGGGAAGUCCUUUAAUUGUUGGCUGUUGGAAGGUGAGAAGAUGCUCAGAAUCAAGGACAGCUCUGUGCCUUCAUCCAUAACCCGCUGCUGAUCCCAGCCAGUUGGAGGUGCUGCGAAAGAUGGGCUAAGUCAGCCCUCACCGAUAAGGGUAAAGUAAGGGUGCUACAGCAUCAGGUAAGGGUGCUAUAGAUGAAAAGUUCACUAAGCAGAAAGCAUUGCUUCAACUUGCAACACAGUGGUACUGGACAGAUUAAUAGGAACAGCCACUGCUGAAGUGCAUUUUCAUGUCCAAAGCCAGAAGAAAUCACCAUGGUCAGAAUUGCUCUUGCCUUCUGCAGAGUGUUUUUUGUUUAUUUUGGUUUGGGUGGAUUUAGCUUUUGUCAGUUUGGUGGGUUUCUGGUUUGGGGUGGUUUGUUGUUUUGUUUUGUUUCAUUGUGUUUUUUUUGUGUGUUUGUUUUUUACAUUUUGCAUUCCUCCCCAUUAAUUCAAAUGCCUACGUUAAGUUUAUU